rnacentral:lncRNA from 1 species
ACUACAGCGGCCCGCAACGACGAAAAACAGCCAUAUGGCGUCUCUACUGGAAGUUUGCUGUUGCCAUUCAAGAAUAUGCUUCUUAAAUACAACUGCAGUAAGCCAAAAGUGAUGGGCGGAUAAUGUUUGAAGCGAUUGGGGGAAUUGGACGAACAUGAUAGCUGCAUUCGCACCCCUUCAGGCAGGAUCCCCAGGGAACACACUCCGCUACAGUUUUCUCUCCCCCCCCCCAUCCACUCCACAGCUCGGAGAUGCACGGAGACGAUAACACACUCUGUGCAUAAAGUGAAGUGUGGAGCUGCAGCAGCGGUUUGGCGGAGCCUCUGGAAGGAUUGGAGGAAGCUGCUGAGAAAAGCAGGAACGAUAGCAGACGAAGAGGAUCUGUAGGCAGGACUCAAUCCCAUGUCUACAGGAUUGAGGAGAUGCUGUGAUGUGUCCGCGGUUGUAGUGGGCUCAUGCUGAGCGGGGAGAUUGAAGAGGGAUACUCCAGAGCACACCCUCCACGAGCGAGGGAGAAAAGAGAGAUCUGUGAUGUGGUGAGAUGAAGGAGACGGAGGUAUAGAUGAUGUGGUGCAGCGGGUGGGGACAGUCUCGUAAGCUGGAUGAUCACAGCCACACCAGCCCCCCUCGUCUGCAGCAUCACUCCAAAACAUCCCUAACAGAUCAAUCCAUUACUUACUGAAACACACCGUGGCCUGUCUGUGAUUUUUGUCUGCUUGUCACGGUGAGAGAAUGCAAGUUGCUCUACAGUUCUUAAGACAAGUAGAUGUUGCAGGAAAACAAGAAGUAAUAAUACAUUAUAUAUCAACACAAUGUGAAAAG